UUUCUACAGGCUUAACACAUGCAAGUCGAGGGGCAGCAUGGUCUUAGCUUGCUAAGACUGAUGGCGACCGGCGCACGGGUGAGUAACACGUAUCCAACCUGCCGUCUACUCUUGGACAGCCUUCUGAAAGGAAGAUUAAUACAAGAUGGCAUCAUGAGUCCGCAUGUUCACAUGAUUAAAGGUAUUCCGGUAGACGAUGGGGAUGCGUUCCAUUAGAUAGUAGGCGGGGUAACGGCCCACCUAGUCUUCGAUGGAUAGGGGUUCUGAGAGGAAGGUCCCCCACAUUGGAACUGAGACACGGUCCAAACUCCUACGGGAGGCAGCAGUGAGGAAUAUUGGUCAAUGGGCGAGAGCCUGAACCAGCCAAGUAGCGUGAAGGAUGACUGCCCUAUGGGUUGUAAACUUCUUUUAUAAAGGAAUAAAGUCGGGUAUGCAUACCCGUUUGCAUGUACUUUAUGAAUAAGGAUCGGCUAACUCCGUGCCAGCAGCCGCGGUAAUACGGAGGAUCCGAGCGUUAUCCGGAUUUAUUGGGUUUAAAGGGAGCGUAGAUGGAUGUUUAAGUCAGUUGUGAAAGUUUGCGGCUCAACCGUAAAAUUGCAGUUGAUACUGGAUAUCUUGAGUGCAGUUGAGGCAGGCGGAAUUCGUGGUGUAGCGGUGAAAUGCUUAGAUAUCACGAAGAACUCCGAUUGCGAAGGCAGCCUGCUAAGCUGCAACUGACAUUGAGGCUCGAAAGUGUGGGUAUCAAACAGGAUUAGAUACCCUGGUAGUCCACACGGUAAACGAUGAAUACUCGCUGUUUGCGAUAUACUGCAAGCGGCCAAGCGAAAGCGUUAAGUAUUCCACCUGGGGAGUACGCCGGCAACGGUGAAACUCAAAGGAAUUGACGGGGGCCCGCACAAGCGGAGGAACAUGUGGUUUAAUUCGAUGAUACGCGAGGAACCUUACCCGGGCUUAAAUUGCAGAUGAAUUACGGUGAAAGCCGUAAGCCGCAAGGCAUCUGUGAAGGUGCUGCAUGGUUGUCGUCAGCUCGUGCCGUGAGGUGUCGGCUUAAGUGCCAUAACGAGCGCAACCCUUGUUGUCAGUUACUAACAGGUUCCGCUGAGGACUCUGACAAGACUGCCAUCGUAAGAUGUGAGGAAGGUGGGGAUGACGUCAAAUCAGCACGGCCCUUACGUCCGGGGCUACACACGUGUUACAAUGGGGGGUACAGAGGGCCGCUACCACGCGAGUGGAUGCCAAUCCCCAAAACCUCUCUCAGUUCGGACUGGAGUCUGCAACCCGACUCCACGAAGCUGGAUUCGCUAGUAAUCGCGCAUCAGCCACGGCGCGGUGAAUAUGUUCCCGGGCCUUGUACACACCGCCCGUCAAGCCAUGGGAGCCGGGGGUACCUGAAGUGCGUAACCGCGAGGAGCGCCCUAGGGUAAAACUGGUGACUGGGGCUA
rnacentral:rRNA from 1 species